rnacentral:rRNA from 1 species
AUUGAACGCUGGCGGCAGGCCUAACACAUGCAAGUCGAGCGGAUGAAGGGAGCUGGCUCCUGGAUUCAGCGGCGGACGGGUGAGUAAUGCCUAGGAAUCUGCCUGGUAGUGGGGGAUAACGUCCGGAAACGGGCGCUAAUACCGCAUACGUCCUGAGGGAGAAAGUGGGGGAUCUUUGGACUUCACGCUAUCAGAUGAGCCUAGGUCGGAUUAGCGAGCUGGUGGGGUAAAGGCCUACCGAGGCGACGAACCGUAACUGGUCUGAGAGGAUGAUCAGUCACACUGGAACUGAGACACGGUCCAGACUCCUACGGGAGGCAGCCGUGGGGAAUAUUGGACGAUGGGCGAAAGCCUGAUCCAGCCAUGCCGCGUGUGUGAAGAAGGUCUUCGGAUUGUAAAGCACUUUAAGUUGGGAGGAAGGGCAGUAAGUUAAUACCGUGCUGUUUUGACGUUACCAACAGAAUAAGCACCGGCUAACUUCGUG